UCCGUGACUAUUACCCCGUUUGGGAAAGC
rnacentral:piRNA from 1 species